rnacentral:lncRNA from 1 species
GUUUAGUUUACUUGAUCCUGCCUCAGUGCAGGUUAUUAGGAUAGUUUUGUGUGUGUGUUUCCUUUUAGCCAUACAGCUCUGUAAUGUACACUCUCCAUGGACAAUCUGGGAGAAAUUAGAGUUGAAUCCAAAUAAUCAGGCUGGGACUGAUACUCAUGUCUAGAUGAAACAACCCAAAUAUGAAGGCGGAAACUCAAGUAGUACUGAAGGAUAGAAGAUUAAAUGAUUGACGAAGCAGCUGAAACUUACUGAGCUCCAUUCGAUGUGUUGUGCAGCCCUAACGGUGCUGGAAGGGAAUAUAGGGAAGAUGAUGCUAUGAAAAUAAGCAAAAAAAAAAAGACUCACAGUGAUGAGGAGUUUGAGGAGCCAGAUUCUCCGCCAAACCAAACGGAGCAAUGCCCAGGCUGCUCUUCCUUUACACCAAGAGGCAGGCAGAAAGGAGUCAGGCAGGCCGUCACACUAGGUAAGGAUAUGUCGGAUAUAUCAAUAUGUCAGAGUUGGAAUCAAGCUUCAGGCACUGCACAGGGACCAGAGACUCUAACGCAUCCUCCCUGCAUGUGUUCAGGCUCUUCAGAUUUUGCUCUGCAUGUCUGAAAAUGCUUUGCAUUUAUUCAUUUGCAUUUGCAGAGAAGCUGUUCCUUAGUUCUCCU